rnacentral:rRNA from 1 species
UACAGAGGUCUCAAGCGUUUGUUCGGAUUCAUUGGGCGUAAAGGGUGUGUAGGUGGCGCCGUAAGUCGGGUGUGAAAUUUCGGAGCUUAACUCCGAAACUGCAUUCGAUACUGCGGUGCUUGAGGACUGGAGAGGAGACUGGAAUUCAUGGUGUAGCAGUGAAAUGCGUAGAGAUCAUGAGGAAGACCAGUGGCGAAGGCGGGGUCUCUGGACAGUUCCUGACGUGAGGCACGAAGGUCAGGGGGAGCAAACGGGG